CUGCAGAGAUGCAGGGGUUCUUCGGGACCGGCACACAGGUGCUGCAUGGCUGUCGUCAGCUCGUGUCGUGAGAUGUUGGGUUAAGUCCCGCAACGAGCGCAACCCUCGCCCUUAGUUGCCAGCAUUUGGUUGGGCACUCUAAGGGGACUGCCGGUGAUAAGCCGAGAGGAAGGUGGGGAUGACGUCAAGUCCUCAUGGCCCUUACGGGCUGGGCUACACACGUGCUACAAUGGUGGUGACAGUGGGCAGCGAGCACGCGAGUGUGAGCUAAUCUCCAAAAGCCAUCUCAGUUCGGAUUGCACUCUGCAACUCGAGUGCAUGAAGUUGGAAUCGCUAGUAAUCGCGGAUCAGCAUGC
rnacentral:rRNA from 1 species